GACAGAGGCCCCAAGCGUUAGGCGGAAUCACUGGGCUUAAAGCGUGUGUAGGCGGGCCCGUAAGUGUCUUGUGAAAUCCCACGGCUCAACCGUGGAACUGCUGGGCAUACUGCGGGUCUUGGGCCAACUAGGGGCAGCCGGAACAAGCGGUGGAGCGGUGAAAUGCGUAGAUAUCGCUUGGAACGCCGAAGGUGAAAACAGGCUGCUGGGGUUGCGCCGACGCUGAGACACGAAAGCCAGGGGAGCAAACGGG
rnacentral:rRNA from 1 species